rnacentral:lncRNA from 1 species
CCUUCCUACGACCCCCCACGACAGGUGCAGAUAAAAGCCUGAGAGAAGCUGCGGCAGAGGCACCAGAGAGGACCAAGGCAGACAACACGCAACUCCGAGGCCCGAACAACAAGGACGUCGACCAGGCUUCUGCAAGACGACUUGUUCCAGGUGGUUCAGUUUUCUUCUUGUUGUGGAGAGCAAUCACUGCAAUCUGUACAUAUCGGAACAGAAACCAUCACUCACGUCUGUUUCUCGGCAUUUUCCUUUGUGAGACUGCACCAUUUUCACCUAUUGAUUCUACUCCUAGAGCAAUGUGAGUGGUUUCAAGGUUUUUAUUUUGUGACCAAUACAUCUAAAAACAUUAUCAUACAGGGAUCUCUGCAUUGGAUUCCUUUUCCUCAUCUUCAAAAAAUUCCCUAAGCUGAAUACCUGUUUGUCACCUGAAAGACAUCUUCCAUUGGUUAACUUCUGUUUUGUCCUUGUCCUUUUGGGGGAAGGAUUGACACCUGACCUAAAACAGGAUUGGAUGUCAAGACUGAUGUUGCCACAUGCAUCAAGUGAAUAGAAAAUGUUUGUUACUCACAGGUACUUUCUAAGGAGAGGAGGGCAAAGGUAAGCAGGUUGGGGUAGCUUGUGUGAGGGAGAAUGGGUUGGCCCUUUAUGGUGUAUGGGGUAGAGGCUGCAGGUUUUCAGGGUUCAGACCCUCGUACCUGAUAACACAAAAAGAAAAGAGGUGUGUGUCAACCGUCCCAACUCGUUGACCCACUGUGAGCCAAACAGGGUGAGCAAGUAUCUAAAGCACAUUAACAGUCAAACAUCGAAAUAAAGUCAGUGUUUAUUAAAGUUCA